CCUACGGGAGACCGCAGUCGAGAAUCAUUCACAAUGGGGGAAACCCUGAUGGUGCGACGCCGCGUGGGGGAAUGAAGGUCUUCGGAUUGUAAACCCCUGUCAUGUGGGAGCAAAUUAAAAAGAUAGUACCACAAGAGGAAGAGACGGCUAACUCUGUGCCAGCAGCCGCGGUAAUACAGAGGUGUCAAGCGUUGUUCGCAAUCACUGGGCGUAAAGCGUGCGUAGGCUGUUUCGUAAGUCUUGUGUGAAAGGCGCGGGCUCAACCCGCGGACGGCACAUGAUACUGCGAGACUAGAGUGAUGGAGGGGGAACUGGAAUUCUCGGUGUAGCAGUGAAAUGCGUAGAUAUCGAGAGGAACACUCGUGGCGAAGGCGGGUUCCUGGACAUUAACUGACGCUGAGGCACGAAGGCCAGGGGAGCGAAAGGGAUUAGAUACCCGUGUAGUC
rnacentral:rRNA from 1 species